GAUGAACGCUGGCGGCGUGCCUAAUACAUGCAAGUCGAGCGAACAGACGAGGAGCUUGCUCCUCUGACGUUAGCGGCGGACGGGUGAGUAACACGUGGAUAACCUACCUAUAAGACUGGGAUAACUUCGGGAAACCGGAGCUAAUACCGGAUAACAUGUUGAACCGCAUGGUUCAACAGUGAAAGACGGUUUUGCUGUCACUUAUAUAUGGAUCCGCGUCGCAUUAGCUAGUUGGUAAGGUAACGGCUUACCAAGGCAACGAUGCGUAGCCGACCUGAGAGGGUGAUCGGCCACACUGGAACUGAGACACGGUCCAGACUCCUACGGGAGGCAGCAGUAGGGAAUCUUCCGCAAUGGGCGAAAGCCUGACGGAGCAACGCCGCGUGAGUGAAGAAGGUCUUCGGAUCGUAAAACUCUGUUAUUAGGGAAGAACAAAUGUGUAAGUAACUAUGCACGUCUUGACGGUACCUAAUCAGAAAGCCACGGCUAACUACGUG
rnacentral:rRNA from 1 species